rnacentral:rRNA from 1 species
GACAGAGGGUGCAAACGUUGUUCGGAAUUACUGGGCGAAAGCGCGUGUAGGCGGCCCUGCAAGUCGGGUGUGAAAUCCCAUGGCUCAACCAUGGAAGUGCACUCGAAACUGCAGGGCUAGAGUCCUGGAGAGGAAGGUGGAAUGCUUGGUGUAGAGGUGAAAUGCGUAGAUAGUCGGAAGGAACAUCAGUGGCGAAGGCGACUCCUGGACCAAUACGUGACGCUCAGGUGCGAAAGCGUGGGGAGCAAACAGG